rnacentral:rRNA from 1 species
GAUGAACGCUGGCGGCGUGCCUAAUACAUGCAAGUCGAGCGAACAGACGAGGAGCUUGCUCCUCUGACGUUAGCGGCGGACGGGUGAGUAACACGUGGAUAACCUACCUAUAAGACUGGGAUAACUUCGGGAAACCGGAGAUAAUACCGGAUAAUAUAUUGAACCGCAUGGUUCAAUAGUGAAAGACGGCUUUGCUGUCACUUAUAGAUGGAUCCGCGCCGCAUUAGCUAGUUGGUAAGGUAACGGCCUACCAAGGCAACGAUGCGUAGCCGACCUGAGAGGGUGGUCGGCCACACUGGAACUGAGACACGGUCCAGACUCCUACGGGAGGCAGCAGUAGGGAAUCUUCCGCAAUGGGCGAAAGCCUGACGGAGCAACGCCGCGUGAGUGAUGAAGGUCUUCGGAUCGUAAAACUCUGUUAUUGGGGAAGAACAAAUGUGUAAGUAACUAUGCACGUCUUGACGGUACCUAAUCAGAAAGCCACGGCUAACUACGUG